GUGAUCAAGUCCAUAAGGGCACACGGUGAAUGUCUUGGCGUCGAGAGGCGAUGAAGGACGUGGGAACCUGCGAUAAGCCUAGGGGAGCUGGUAACCGAGCUUUGAUCCUGGGAUUUCCGAAUGGGGAAACCCGAUCCGUUCUGCGGAUCAUCUAUACCUGAAUGCAUAGGGUAUGGAAGCGAACCUGGCGAACUGAAACAUCUCAGUAACCAGAGGAAAGGAAAGCAACCGCGACUCCGUAAGUAGCGCCGAGCGAAAGCGGAUAAGCCAGAAUGCAACGUGAAUCGACUGGAAAGUCGAACCAAAGAAGGUGAUGGUCCUGUAGCGUUGUUGCUGGUGAGGCCUAGAGUAGGUUCGGGCUCGUGAAACCCGGAUUGAACAUGGGGGGUCCACCCUCCAAGCCUAAGUACUCCUCGACGACCGAUAGUGAAUCAGUAAGGCGACUGAACGAUGAAAAGCACCCCGAUAAGGGGAGUGAAAAGUACCUGAAACCGUGUGCUUACAAGCGGUCGGAGCCCGUCUUUGGCGGGUGACGGCGUGCCUUUUGCAUAAUGAGCCAGCGAGUUACUCUCUACAGCAAGGCUAAGCUGAAUCCCAGCGCAGCCGAAGGGAAACCGAGUCUUAAAUGGGCGUCGAGUUGUAGGGAGUAGACGCGAAACCAGCAGAUCUACCCAUGGGCAGGUUGAAGGAGGGGUAAAACCCUCUGGAGGACCGAAGCCGUAAACGUUGAAAAGUUUUGGCAUGACCUGUGGGGAGGAGUUAAAGUCUAAUCAUUGCUGGAGAUAUCUCGUUCUCCUCGAAAUAGUUUUAGGACUAGCCCCACGUUUCAUCACACGGGGGUAGAGCGACUGAAUGGGGCUGGGGGGCUACCCGCCUACCCACUCCAAUCAAACUCCGAAUACCGUGUGAGCAGCCGUGGGAGUCAGUCUACGGGGGAUAAUCUCCGUGGACAAAAGGGAAACAGCCCAGACCGCCAGCUAAGGUCCCUAAACAACUCUAAGUUACUAAGGUAGUUGGAUUGCAGUGACAGCCAGGAUGUUGGCUUAGAAGCAGCCACCAUUUAAAAAGUGCGUAACAGCUUACUGGUCGAGGAAUCCAGCGCCGAUAAUGAUCGGGAAUAAGAGUUGUACCGAAGCUGCGGCCCGCUUAUGCGGGGGUAGAGGAGCGUUCCUGUCAGCGUCGAAGCUUUCCCGAAAGGGUGGGUGGAGCGGCAGGAAGUGAAUAUGUUGGCUUAAGUAACGAUAAACGGAGUGAGAAUCUCCGUCGCCGAAAACCUAAGGUUUCCUGGGGAAGGUAAAUCCGCCCAGGGUUAGGCGGUUCCUAAGGCGAGGCCGAAAGGCGUAGUCGAUGGACAGCCGGUUAAUAUUCCGGCCCUCCCGUGUGCGGUUGAACCAGCGUGACGGAUCGUGAAGUUCGGCGGGACAGUGAAGUGUCCAGGCCCUUGAGGCCGAUGUCGGGUGGAUUGGUUCCAAGAAAAACCGUCUGGUGACAAUCACGGGAUCCGUACUAAAACUGACACAGGUAGGUGUGGCGAAAAGCCUCAGGCGCUCGAGAGAAUGGUUGUGAAGGAAUUAGGCAAAUUGACCCCGUACGUUCGCAAUAAGGGGGCCCUCCUGGAAACAGAGGGCGCAGAGAAUAGGCUCUGGGAACUGUUUAUCAAAAACACAGCACUGUGCUAACUCGCAAGAGCACGUAUACAGUGUGACGCCUGCCCGGUGCCGGAACGUCAAGGAAGCAGGUUAGCCCUCGGGCGAAGCUUGCGACCGAAGCGCCGGUAAACGGCGGCCGUAACUCUGACGGUCCUAAGGUAGCGAAAUUCCUUGUCGGGUAAGUUCCGACGCGCAUGAAUGGCGUAAUCACUGGAGCACUGUCUCCACGACCAACUCGGUGAAAUAGUAGUGGCGGUGAAGAUGCCGCCUACCCGCAGCAAGACGGAAAGACCCCGUGAAGCUUUACUGUACGCUUA
rnacentral:rRNA from 1 species